rnacentral:rRNA from 1 species
UGCCAGCCGCCGCGGUAAUACGGAGGGUGCAAGCGUUAAUCGGAAUUACUGGGCGUAAAGCGCGCGUAGGCGGUUGAGUGAGUCAGAUGUGAAAGCCCCGGGCUCAACCUGGGAACGGCAUUUGAUACUGCUUGACUAGAGUCUGACAGAGGGUGGCGGAAUUCCGGGUGUAGCGGUGAAAUGCGUAGAUAUCCGGAGGAACACCGGUGGCGAAGGCGGCUUCCUGGACCAACACUGACGCUGAGGUGCGAAAGCGUGGGUAGCAAACAGGAUUAGAUA